rnacentral:rRNA from 1 species
GGCCUCGCAAGUCCGUCGGGAAAUCCAGUAGCCCAACUACUGGGCGUCCGGCGGAAACUCCGAGGCUUGGGACCGGAAGGCUCGAGGGGUACGUCCGGGGUAGGAGUGAAAUCCCGUAAUCCCGAACGGACCACCGAUGGCGAAAGCACCUCGAGAAAACGGCUCCGACAGUGAGGGACGAAAGCUAGGGUCUCGAACCGGAUUAGAUACCCGGGUAGUCCUAGCCGUAAACGAUGUUCGCUAGGUGUGGCACUCGCUACGAGCGAGUGCUGUGCCGUAGGGAAGCCGAGAAGCGAACCGCCUGGGAAGUACGUCUGCAAGGAUGAAACUUAAAGGAAUUGGCGGGGGAGCACUACAACCGGAGGAGCCUGCGGUUUAAUUGGACUCAACGCCGGACAUCUCACCAGCCCCGACUACAGUAAUGACGGUCAGGUUGAUGACCUCAUCACGAGCUGUAGAGAGGAGGUGCAUGGCCGCCGUCAGCUCGUACCGUGAGGCGUCCUGUUAAGUCAGGCAACGAGCGAGACCCGCACUCCUAAUUGCCAGCAGCAGUCUCGACUGGCUGGGUACAUUAGGAGGACUGCCAGUGCCAAACUGGAGGAAGGAACGGGCAACGGUAGGUCAGUAUGCCCCGAAUGGGCUGGGCUACACGCGGGCUACAAUGGCCGGGACAAUGGGUCGCCACCUCGAAAGAGGGCGCUAAUCUCAGAAACCCGGUCGUAGUUCGGACUGAGGGCUGAAACUCGCCCUCACGAAGCUGG